rnacentral:rRNA from 1 species
UACAGAGGGGGCAAGCGUUAUUCGGAAUUAUUGGGCGUAAAGGGCGCGUAGGCGGCCAUUCAAGUGACGGGUGAAAGCCCUCGGCUUAACCGAGGAACUGCCUGUCAGACUGGGUGGCUUGAGACCGGGAGAGGUGAGUGGAAUUCCCAGUGUAGCGGUGAAAUGCGUAGAUAUAGGAAGGAACACCAGUGGCGAAGGCGACCACCUGGACUGAUACUGACACUGAGGUGCGAAAGCGUGGGGGAGCAAACAGG